rnacentral:rRNA from 1 species
GAUGAACGCUGGCGGCGUGCCUAAUACAUGCAAGUCGAGCGAACGGACGAUAAGCUUGCUUUUCUGAUGUUAGCGGCGGACGGGUGAGUAACACGUGGAUAACCUACCUCUAAGACUUGGAUAACUUCGGGAAACCGGAUCUAAUACCAGAUAAUAUUUUGAACCGCAUGGUUCAAAAGUGAAAGACGGUCUUGCUGACACAUAUAGAUGAAUCCGCGCUGCAUUAGCUAGUUGGUAAGGUAACGGCUUACCAAGGCAACGAUGCAUAGCCGACCUGAGAGGGUGAUCGGCCACACUGGAACUGAGACACGGUCCAGACUCCUACGGGAGGCAGCAGUAGGGAAUCUUCGGCAAUGGGCGAAAGCCUGACGGAGCAACGCCGCGUGAGUGAUGAAGGUCUUCGGAUCGUAAAACUCUGUUAUUAGGGAAGAAAAUAUGUGUAAGUAACUGUGCCCAUCUUGACGGUACCUAAUGAGAAAGCAACGGCUAACUUCGUG